GUAGGGUGCAAGCGUUAAUCGGAAUUACUGGGCGUAAAGCGUGCGCAGGCGGCUUUGCAAGACAGAUGUGAAAUCCCCGGGCUCUACCUGGGAACUGCAUUUGUGACUGCAUGGCUAGAGUGCGGCAGAGGGGGAUGGAAUUCCGCGUGUAGCAGUGAAAUGCGUAGAUAUGCGGAGGAACACCGAUGGCGAAGGCAAUCCCCUGGGCCUGCACUGACGCUCAUGCACGAAAGCGUGGGGAGCAAACAGGAUUAGAUACCCUGGUAGUCCACGCCCUAAACGAUGUCAACUGGUUGUUGGACGGCUUGCUGUUCAGUAACGAAGCUAACGCGUGAAGUUGACCGCCUGGGGAGUACGGCCGCAAGGUUG
rnacentral:rRNA from 1 species